GGGAAGUUGGCUCAGUGGUAGAGCGCUUGCCUCGCAUGCAUGAGGCCAUGGAUUCGAUUCCUCA
rnacentral:tRNA from 1 species